CUCCUUGUCCAAACCAUUGCUUUUGUCUUCUUUAUUUCUCAUCCCCAGUCCUCCCUCUCAACACUUCAUCUUUCAGAACCCUUAUUCCUGCCGGUUCAGGAUGAACAGAACACAGAAAUGGGGUAGGAGUACAGAAGAAAUCAUCAAAGGUUACCCUGUUGGAUAGACGUUUUCCAGUAUGCUGUCAGAAUCUGGUGCCCUGCUUUCAGAAUGGAAUUCCCCCCUUGGAAGACGUGACCUAUAGUUCUAAAGAGCUCCAUGUCUCUGAGCAGAAAACGGAAGCGCUGGAUGACUUGUCUUGCAGGCAUCCACCUGGUCUGAAUAAAGGUCCUUGGGGAUGAGAAUCUUGCACGAACAUGAAGGAAUUCACCUCUCACUCUGACUCCUUGACGGUAUCGUGAUUGUUCAGGACAGCUGCAAGACAGAUUAAAAUUUUAUGUACACACCAGAAGUAGGAUCCUCAAAACCUCACAAUAUAGAAAAUAGCACCUGGCAGAGCUGGUGAGGUUCUGAAGCUGGCAAGGGUCCAGGUUUCCAGCCACAGCAGGCAGCUUCCUGGCUGUUGGUUAUGCCCAAGGCAGCAGCUUAUCGGAGCUUGCUCUUGUGGUGAGGCACCUUAAUCUGUUUCUUUAUCUUUUCUUUUUGUGAGGGGGAGGGGGGUCUCUCCCGUGGUACCAGAGGAUAACCUUGAACUUUUUUGACCUUGAACCUCUUAUCAUUCUUCCUAGGCUUCUGAAGAGCUGGGAUUAUAUGCGCGUGUCACUGUUCCCAGUUUAUGCAGUUUUGGGCUUCUUGCAAGCUGAACUCCAUCCUAGGCCCUAGAUCUAUUUCUUCAAGAAAAAUCUGAAAACCUCCCAAAGAUUCCGUGAGCUAUCUAUACUUUUUAAUCCCCUUCUAGCUAGAGAAUGAGAACCCUCUUAGAGAAAAUCUCAUCGCCUAUUUUUUGAGACAAGGUCUUGUCAUGUAGCUCAAACUCAAGGUACACACACCCCUACAUCCCCACCCUGCCCCAGCCUUCCUAACACUAGGAUGACAGGAAUUUACCAGCACACCACCAAGGGCACAUGUUCAAUGGGCACAAGGCCACAUGUAGGUUUAAGUACCGCCACCACAAAAAGAAGGAAGGGGGUGUCUUGGUUGAGGAAAAAGGAUUCAGUAAAGCCACAAUGUAAGUAUGAUUCAGGCUGUGUUACAAACAGUAACGAUGGUAUAAACUGAGAAGUGCUCAAAUCUAGAGCCCCGAAGAACUCAAACACUCAACCACAGCUGUCCUCCCAUCCUGGGAGUAAGCAAAGAUUCUGGGACCUGAAGCUUCCUCAGCCUUUCCAAGGAUUCCCCCUUAAGAAUUUUCUGCCUUGGAGAGAGGGCUCAGCAGUUAAGAGCACUUAGUGAUCUUUGAGAGGAUCCAGGUUUAAUUCUCACCAGCAACAUGGUGGCUCACAACCAUCUUUAACUCCAGUCCCAGGGGAUCUAAUGGUCUUUUCUGACCUCCCUGGGCACCAGGCACACAUAUGAUGCACAGACAAACAUUCAGGGAAAGCAUCCAUAUCCAUAAAAUAAACACAGUUAAAUCUUUUUUUAAAAGUCAUUUUCUUCCCAGUGGUAAUAAAUCAUACCAGGGAAAAGACCCAGUGAAGGAAGGAUGCUGUCAACCCGUCCAAUCCUAUAGUCCAAAGAGCCCCCAGGAGGUACCCUGGGUGAAGACCCCAGAGAAGGAGCAAGCAUAGAGGCCAGCAAAUGAUGUGAUCCUUUCUUCAAAAAUGUCACAGAGGAUGUCACUCAGUGACAGAGUGCUUAUCUAGCAUGCUGACAGCUCUGCAUUCAAUCAACACCAUCAGAAAUCCAGGAGAAACAAAACUAACCUGGGUUUAAACUGCUGGAACCAUACCUCUAACCAAACGUCCAGGCUUAUACUUGCAAUCCCAGUCCUUGGAAAGCUGAGGCAGCAGGACUGACAUAAGCCAAAAAUGAGCCUGGGGCUCUACAGUGAGUACCUAGCCAGCAUGCGAGUCUGUCUCAAAACAUUAUUAUUACUAUUAUUAUUAUUAUUAUUAUUA